rnacentral:rRNA from 1 species
UACGUAGGGACCAAGCGUUGUCCGGAAUCAUUGGGCGUAAAGCGCGCGUAGGUGGCCAUUUAAGUCCGCUGUGAAAGUCAGAGGCUCAACCUUUGAAAGCCGGUGGAUACUGGAUGGCUAGAGUACGGAAGAGGCGAGUGGAAUUCCUGGUGUAGCGGUGGAAUGCGCAGAUAUCAGGAGGAACACCAAUAGCGAAGGCAGCUCGCUGGGACGUUAACUGACGACUAAGGCGCGAAAGCAGUGGGGAGCAAACAGG